CCGAGAUUUUUUCCUGCUUGCAGGAAAUCUCCCACCCUUUGCGUACUAAAUUUAUUUACUUUGGUGAAGCGUUUUCUUCAUUGAGACCAUCGGCUCACAAGCGGGUGCGUCUUCGCCAAAGGACCCCUUAACUCUUAUUUAUUAAAAAUUGUCUGAGUUUAUAUUUUAAAUAAACA
rnacentral:misc_RNA from 1 species